AGAGUUUGAUCCUGGCUCAGGACGAAUUCUGGCGGCGCGCCUAACACAUGCAAGUCGAACGGAGCUUAGAGAGCUUGCUUUUUAAGCUUAGUGGCGAACGGGUGAGUAACGCGUGAGUAACCUGCCCUAGAGUGGGGGACAACAGUUGGAAACGACUGCUAAUACCGCAUAAGCCCACGGUACCGCAUGGUACUGAGGGAAAAGGAGCAAUCCGCUUUGAGAUGGCCUCGCGUCCGAUUAGCUAGUUGGUGAGGUAACGGCCCACCAAGGCAACGAUCGGUAGCCGGACUGAGAGGUUGAACGGCCACAUUGGGACUGAGACACGGCCCAGACUCCUACGGGAGGCAGCAGUGGGGAAUAUUGCACAAUGGGGGAAACCCUGAUGCAGCGACGCCGCGUGGAGGAAGAAGGUCUUCGGAUUGUAAACUCCUGUUGUUGGGGAAGAUAAUGACGGUACCCAACAAGGAAGUGACGGCUAACUACGUGCCAGCAGCCGCGGUAAAACGUAGGUCACAAGCGUUGUCCGGAAUUACUGGGUGUAAAGGGAGCGCAGGCGGGAAGACAAGUUGGAAGUGAAAUCUAUGGGCUCAACCCAUAAACUGCUUUCAAAACUGUUUUUCUUGAGUAGUGCAGAGGUAGGCGGAAUUCCCGGUGUAGCGGUGGAAUGCGUAGAUAUCGGGAGGAACACCAGUGGUGAAGGCGGCCUACUGGGCACCAACUGACGCUGAGGCUCGAAAGUGUGGGUAGCAAACAGGAUUAGAUACCCUGGUAGUCCACACCGUAAACGAUGAUUACUAGGUGUUGGAGGAUUGACCCCUUCAGUGCCGCAGUUAACACAAUAAGUAAUCCACCUGGGGAGUACGACCGCAAGGUUGAAACUCAAAGGAAUUGACGGGGGCCCGCACAAGCAGUGGAGUAUGUGGUUUAAUUCGAAGCAACGCGAAGAACCUUACCAAAUCUUGACAUCCCUUUGACCGGCGAGUAAUGUCGCCUUUCCUUCGGGACAGAGGAGACAGGUGGUGCAUGGUUGUCGUCAGCUCGUGUCGUGAGAUGUUGGGUUAAGUCCCGCAACGAGCGCAACCCCUAUCCUUAGUAGCCAGCACGCAGUGGUGGGCACUCUGAGGAGACUGCCAGGGAUAACCUGGAGGAAGGCGGGGAUGACGUCAAAUCAUCAUGCCCCUUAUGAUUUGGGCUACACACGUGCUACAAUGGCGUAAACAAAGGGAAGCGAACCCGCGAGGGUGGGCAAAUCUCAAAAAUAACGUCCCAGUUCGGACUGCAGUCUGCAACUCGACUGCACGAAGCUGGAAUCGCUAGUAAUCGCGGAUCAGAAUGCCGCGGUGAAUACGUUCCCGGGUCUUGCACACACCGCCCGUCA
rnacentral:rRNA from 1 species